GAGAGCAUAGCUCAGUGGUAGAGCACAUGCUUAGCAUGCACAAGGUCCUGGGUUCAAUCCCCAGUACCUUUG
rnacentral:tRNA from 1 species